rnacentral:lncRNA from 1 species
CAAGGGUUUAAAGCAAUUCUGUAUAUCAGAGAGCUGUAUCUAAACUUCCUAUCCAUUCCUACAUUGUAUUUCAGUCGGGUCCAAGGACUGAAUUCUACCACAAUGGAAGCAGACACUGUGGUCUAGAUUCCAGGAUCUUAUGGACUCCUUUCCAUUACAGGAAGGUGGCCUGAUUUCAACAGCAAUCCAUACCAAUGAUUUUGAUGGCAGAGCCGGUAAAGCUUUCAAAGGUGGGUUGGAAAUAGAAAUCAGAAGUGCUCACCUAUGAUUUUUUCAAGGCUAAAGAAAUAUUUGAAGUCUUU